rnacentral:lncRNA from 1 species
CUUUAUGCAAAAUUAAAUCUUAAGCCAUUUAUUAUGUGAUUAAAAAAGAAGAAGAACAUUAAUUACCAGAAUGCUUUCAAGAGGAUGAGACAGUAGGAGUUCAUCAAUCAUUCGAUGAUGUGGAAUUGGAUGCUCCAGGAAUUCUCUUAUGUGAAGAUGGCCAACAUGAGGAGGUAGAUCCAACUGAGACUGUUUUAAAGGACAAUAUUUUCAAAAAAAAGAAAGAAGAGGAAGAAGAAGAGGAAGAGGUGGA